AUUGAACGCUGGCGGCAGGCCUAACACAUGCAAGUCGAGCGGAUGAAGGGAGCUUGCUCCUGGAUUCAGCGGCGGACGGGCGAGUAAUGCCUAGGAAUCUGCCUGGUAGUGGGGGAUAACGUCCGGAAACGGGCGCUAAUACCGCAUACGUCCUGAGGGAGAAAGUGGGGGAUCUUCGGACCUCACGCUAUCAGAUGAGCCUAGGUGGGAUUAGCUAGUUGGUGGGGUAAAGGCCUACCAAGGCGACGAUCCGUAACUGGUCUGAGAGGAUGAUCAGUCACACUGGAACUGAGACACGGUCCAGACUCCUACGGGAGGCAGCAGUGGGGAAUAUUGGACAAUGGGCGAAAGCCUGAUCCAGCCAUGCCGCGUGUGUGAAGAAGGUCUUCGGAUUGUAAAGCACUUUAAGUUGGGAGGAAGGGCAGUAAGUUAAUACCUUGCUGUUUUGACGUUACCAACAGAAUAAGCACCGGCUAACUUCGUG
rnacentral:rRNA from 1 species